UGACGUUCGUCUGUGUGUCUCUCUCUCUUUCUCGCUGGCGUCUUCUCCUUUCGUCCCUCUUAUUUACAUUGGUUUCUUCUCUCUCUCUUCCUCUUCGCCUCUCUCUCUCUCUCUCUCUCUCUCUCUCGCAUUUUCUCUGUUUGUCCCUCUUAUUUACAUUGGUUUCUCUUUCGUCCUCUCUCUCCCGCUUUCCUUGGUUCUGUCUUUACUCUCGUACCUGUCUUUCUCCUUUUCCCAUUGUUUUCUUUCUCUCUCUCUCUCUUUCCUUCUUCCUCCACCCGUGUCUGUCCCUGUCAGUCUUCAUCAACUUCUCACCUGUGUUUCUUUUGUGUAUCGUCUCUCUCUGCCCAACCUUGCCGAGUCUUGUGACCACAUGUGGUCGUUACGUAAUCGGGCACAUGGCAUUAAUUGACAUGUCGCUCUUUGAUGAAUGGGCGUUGGUUAAUAGCUAUCUAUUUGUAUACCAAGUACACCGGGAUCUCUGUUCACUGCCGCGCUACUGAGUCCGAGAAAUUUCUCUCCAGCCGCUGGCUCUUCGUCCUGUUGUUCGUGUUGUCAAUUGGACGGAUUGUCCAGAUGAUUGAACGGAGGCGAAAAAAUGAGUGGGUGGAAAAAAUAGAAAUGACAAUUUUGGGUCCGCUUAUAAUUUUCCCUCUUGGGUCACUAGAAAGUCGUGGCACAUAACAAGCUGCAUUAUUACGUGUAUCUCGUUAAUCGAGAAAUAACAAUAGCAACUUAA